UACGUAGGCAGCGAGCGUUGUUCGGAAUUACUGGGCGUAAAGAGUGUGUAGGCGGUGCUCCCAGUCUGUUGUGAAAUCUCCCGGCUUAACUGGGAGGGUGCAGCGGAAACUAGAGUGCUAGAGGGUGGGAGAGGUAAGCGGAAUUCCUGGUGUAGCGGUGAAAUGCGUAGAUAUCUGGAGGAACGCCGGAGGCGAAAGCGGCGCACUGGAUCUCUACUGACGCUGAGGCGCGAAAGCCAGGGGAGCAAACGGG
rnacentral:rRNA from 1 species